UAGGGAAUCUUCCGCAAUGGACGCAAGUCUGACGGAGCAACGCCGCGCGUGAGAAGAAGGAUUUCGGUUCGUAAAACUCUGUUGUUAGAGAAGAACAGCGCAUAGAGUAACUGUUAUGCGUGUGACGGUAUCUAACCAGAAAGCCACGGCUAACUACGUGCCAGCAGCCGCGGUAAUACGUAGGUGGCAAGCGUUGUCCGGAUUUAUUGGGCGUAAAGCGAGCGCAGGCGGUCAAUUAAGUCUGAUGUGAAAGCCCCCGGCUCAACCGGGGAGGGUCAUUGGAAACUGGGUGACUUGAGUGCAGAAGGGGAGAGGGGAAUUCCAUGUGUAGCGGUGAAAUGCGUAGAUAUAUGGGGGAACACCAGUGGCGAAGGCGACUCUCUGGUCUGUAACUGACGCUGAGGCUCGAAAGCGUGGGUAGCAAACAGG
rnacentral:rRNA from 1 species